GGUGCUAUAGUGUAGUGGUCAUCACUCGGGAUUUUGAUCCAGAUUUACAAUGUCCAGUUUCCCGAAACCCAGGUUCGAACCCUGGUAGCACCU
rfam:Moniliophthora roreri strain MCA 2952 kmer90.96338, whole genome shotgun sequence.